rnacentral:snRNA from 1 species
AUCGCUUCUCAGCCUUUUGGCUAAGAUCAAGUGUAAUAACAAUUUACAUUGCUAUGGUAUAUUUGUUGCAAUUAAUGAAACCAUAAUGAUACAUUAUUAUUAUUAAAGAGUGCCAUUACUGUACUUAGAUUGCCCUAGGUUUU